UAUUAGUUAGUUAAAGUCUCUGCUUCCAUUAAUCCAAUCCAGUCAUGACACUUCAGUCUGUGAGGAUAAACACAAGAGAGAGAGAGAGAGAGAGAGAGAGAGAGAGAGGAAGAUGAGGCAGAUCUUUCUGGAUCCCAGAUGUGAAGACAAAUAAAUCUCAGCACAGGUCUUGAACGAAGAUGUUUCUGGAUGCUUUGUGUUCUUGCCCUGCUCUUAUUAAAUCAGGAAUAUAUUAAACGAGAGAAAUAAUUCACUUGAGGAUCAGGAUCCAGAAUACAGCGCUUCCCCUCGACGAAAGAUAGCUUCACUCCAGCACUCACUUUCUGCUUCAUCUGUGUGUUUGCACUGCUGGUAAAUAAAGUGUGUCUGCAGGUCACAGUUGAGGGGUUUAUUGGUGGUUCUGUCGUCCUGCCGUGUUCUUCAGCUGAACAUAAUCAUAAACUUCAAGACAUUGAUGUGAGCUGGAGACACAAUGGCAGCAAGAUUGUAUUUGAUAUAAUUCCACACAGUAAUGCACCAGUGACACAGGAUUCAGAGUACAAGAACAGGACUGAAACUUUCCCUCAGGAGUAUCAGAGAGGAAACUUCUCUAUCAAACUUAACCGUCUUCAACACACUGAUGCAGGACAGUACAUUUGCUACAUCAAAAACUCAGAUGAAUAUCAUACUCUAAAGCUGACCAUCAAUGGAUCAAUAUCCACUGAACAAGGAAACCAAGGAGGAACAGAACAGGACAGAGUGUUUCCAUCCCUGCCUUUGCGCUUGGUUUGCAUUAUAAUACCUGUGAUGUUAUUUAUAGGGGUUAUUAUUUUCAUUGUAGUUUUCUUGAAAAGAAAGUACUCAAAAUAUAGGGCAGCUGGAAACGGUGUGAAAUUUCCAAGCACAAAGGGAAAGCAACUAUAAUAAAACAUGAAUCAUUGGCUUGGCUUUUCAGAAAUAUGUUUAAUUUGCAUAGAAUCACAUUUGCUUUGCAUUCAGGUACACAAAGCAACAGCACCAUAUAAACUACUUACCUGGUCAUAUAACAUUUCUUGAAUAUCCAUUUUAUUUCAUUAUUUAUUUAUUUUUGUGGAGUGUUAGAUGUUUAGAUGCUGUUAACAACAUUCUCACUUAUAAGACAAUUGCCUGAAACCAUGGGCUUAGUUUGUUGGCCCAUUUCUGCCUUAUAAGAAAAAUGUUACAAUCUUAAAAAGUUUAAGCUACAAUGUUGCUUCAAUGGCUGUUUUUAUAUUUUCCUUUUGCACUAUUUGUCUUUUUUUUAUGUUAUGUCUCGAGCCGUUCUAUAUACUAGUGUUUAUGAAGUGUGCUAAUAACCUUGCCUCACCUCAUGGCUUUCUAAGUUAAAAAGUAAGUUUUUUAAUGUUUACAGAUUUUUGAUGUCUUGUACUUUUAUAUCCUUGCCUUGUGUACUGCAUUUUUAUUGUGCAACAGAACAAGAGGAUGAAACCGGUACAUUUUUGACUGAAGUUAUAAGACACAUAAUCCUUUCAAUAUGUUUCUGCCUUAAUUCUGU